UCUAAUAAUACUUAAUUGGAAAGAACACACAAAAGUACAUUCUGUCUCUGAAGAAGCCUCUGAUGCUGGGUCUCCAUACUUAGUUACUCAUUGCCACCUGAGGCAAGAUUCUUAGGAAAUUAAUACAACGCUCAGAAGCAAGGAGAAGCUCCAGUUCCUCAUGUGCCACAUUGAACAACAGCAUAAUGCUGCAACUAGCUAGAUGGAGCAGUGAAGUCUGAGGAGUAGACCUAAAUUUCACAACAUUGUGAUAAAUACGAGAUUUAGACUCGGCAGGAAUCCCAGAUGACUAUAAAGGAGAAAGUGACUGCCAUUGAAUGACACCCCUGAGUGCUCUUGGAAUAAAUCCAAUAUUGAGUGUCAAGCACAGAAGAAAAGCAGGAAACAAUGUUGCUUUUAUAGUGAAACCAGAUAAUUUAAAGAUAAAUAGAGAAACUAGACCCUAACAUAACUAUCAUAUACUAAAAUCCAAUCAAAAGUUAAUAAAUUUUGGAAAAGCAA